CCGACCUUAGCUCAGCUGGAAGAGCGUCAGACUGUAAUGGUUACUUAUCUGAAUGUCAUGUGUUCGAUCCACAUAGGUCGGA
rnacentral:tRNA from 1 species